AUACAGAGGGUGCAAGCGUUAAUCGGAAUUACUGGGCGUAAAGCGCGCGUAGGCGGCUUGGUCAGUCGGAUGAGAAAGCCCCGGGCUCAACCUGGGAACUGCAUUCGAUACUGCCAGGCUAGAGUAUGGUAGAGGGUAGUAGAAUUCCUGGUGUAGCGGUGAAAUGCGUAGAUAUCAGGAGGAAUACCAGUGGCGAAGGCGGCUACCUGGACCAAUACUGACGCUGAGGUGCGAAAGCGUGGGGAGCAAACAGGAUUAGAAACCCUAGUAGUCC
rnacentral:rRNA from 1 species